rnacentral:lncRNA from 1 species
GGGGCACUUAGCCUUCCUUAAUUGUUUAUUAUUGUACUCUAGGACACAAGCUGUUACCUAAUCAUUAGACACUUCAUGGAUCCAUUGGAAUGGACGUCUACCCAUGGUUUGGGUAAGAAUCAAAAAUUUGCUAGCAAAAAAAUUAUGGAUGAAUAGCCCUAAAAGUCCAAACCUACCGAAACCAGAUCUUACCUUGAACAUCCUAACCUAUCCUAUUCCAAUUCUGACAAUAUUAUCC